ensembl:lncRNA SNHG10 small nucleolar RNA host gene 10
GUCCAUCAGGGUCACGCUUGCAGGGCAACGAGAGGCAAAACAAGAGGGAAGACGACUUUCCUCCUGUGAGCCAAUGAGGCCAGCUGGACUACGCCGAGACAACUGGGAGAGGCGCGGGACUCGCCCGUUCCGCGGAACGCCGGGAAGGGGUCACCUCCUGAUGAAGUUUCCGGUUCCGGUGUCAGCGGCGGUUGAAUUGCCAUGGCAAUGCGGUGGGCGCGCGCUUGUCGUGUUGGUCUCUUGGGAGGUAGCGGGGCUAGGCCGGGCGGGUAUCCGCCUCUCCCAGCUUAGGUGAGCGUCCCCGGGCGCCUCCGGAGCGCCGCGGCCGCAUGCAGUUCGUCGUGGCGGGGAGCCGGAGCCUGACCGGGGUUCCAGCGCUCGGGCCGUAGCCUUGGCUCCUGGACUUUCCCUGGCUCCGCCGCCACGUGGGAGCUGAGGCUCUGGGGCUUCCGCCUCCGGCGCGCGAUUAUUUCUCUAGAACAGUUUUCAUUUUUAAAAUUUGUAAAGCGCUUUUGCCUGUGUGAUUUCCUCUGGGUUUUUUUUUUUUUUCUUCCUUUUUGUAGAGACGGAAUUGGCGGCGGGGGCGGGGGGUCGAUGUCUCACUUUUUUGCCCAGGCUGGUCUCGAACUCCUGGCUUCAAGGGAUCCUCCUGCCUCGGCCUCUUAAAGUGCUGGGAUUACAGGCGUGAGCCACCGCCCCCGGCCGCCUCUGAGUUUCCAGCCUCGUUGGCCCUCCAGCCUUUUAACCUGUUGGGCCUAGGAUCAGGAAAGGUUUGUUGAAUGGGGAACUAAGAAGUGAAUUCGUUCGUUCGACAAACGUUUCCUGAGCAGCCGCUGGGUGCUAGGCGCAGUGCCAGCGCGGAAUGUCCAGGGAGACCUGGUGCCCAAAGCUUGGACCCAUCGUGAGAAAUGAGAAGCAGAUACAAAGCAGUGUGGGAGUGCAGAGGAGACAAAGCAAGCCUCAUCAGGCCCAUUGCUUGCUCUGCUCUCCCUUGUACUUACCAGUGCUUGACAAUAUACAGUUAUUUACUAGCUUGGUUAUUGACUUCCUACCCAGCACUCAGUUUUAUUCACUGCUGUAUCCUCAGUGCCUAGGACGAUGCUUGGAACGUGGUAAGUGCUCCUAUUGGCGGGAAGAAUAAAUCCGGAAGAGCAGGACCAGUGGACUUGCUACAUAAUCUGUAGUCUUGGAGCCGCACAGGGUUGGUGGUACCCUCGAGCACACCAGACUUGCAGAAAAAGCAUACUCCAGAGGAAGCUGAGGCAUGCCUGCUCGAGAGCCAGCUGUUCCAUGUGCAAUUUUCCUCUGAUAGUUUCUGGUCACUGUUGCCACGGUGAUAAUGACUGGGCUAUGUCAUUAUCUAUCCGCCAACAGUAAGAGAAGCUUUGCAGUCGAGAUAUUGUUUAGCAGAUGGAGUGUUUUCUGUUGAACACUAAGUACUGCCACAAGUUACUUUUUUUUUUUUAAACUUUGAGUAUUUUUUUACAAUGUUGCUGGAGGUGAUCUGUUUAUGCUUUGAGAGUGUUCGAAUUUAAAAUCAGAAAAUCAUGUCAGUGAGUGAGUCUUUCAAAUAAUCCUUCGGCAUGAAACCUGAGCCUAGUAAACUAUGAAAGUAAACUCGGCACAUUACCCGAAAGUCUCAAUGUCAUAUUUUCACCCCCAUCAAUAUUAUUGAUGAUUGCUCAUUUUCUAAUGUGGGACCUGAAAUUUACCAGGUGCUUAAAGAAUCUUUUUGUUUUUCAGAUUCAUUGAUUCCAGGUAAAUCAGAGGAACAAGCAACAUGAACAGAAAUAUGUAGAAAAAGCUAUUAUGCAGAAGCAUAAUUGUUGUUUCAGAAGUCCAGCAUCUGGUGCACUUAACAAUAGAGAAUAUAUUAAACUCUUUCCAAAAUAACCUGUUGUUCCUACCUGUGUUGUAAGUGUUUUGUUUGUUUUUAAGUAAAUAUUGGUGAUUUGUUGCCAAAAACCUAAA